AUUAAAAUUAAAAUGCAUUCAUAUCACCAAGUAUUCAUAUCACCAACAUUAAAAUUAAACUGCCCUUAAGCCGAGUCUUAGGCUUAUUCAUGCUAGGUACAUACGCAUCCCCUCUUUUUGAAGCAUUAAUUAAGCUGAAAUUUAAUAGCUCCUUAUGUGAUAGUGAUCGAAGACUAAAGAAAACAGUAAUGAAAAACAACCAUUAAUUUUAGUCUGUACCAGGCAUUAAAAAGGAUAGCACACCUUCGCAACGAACUGCAACCUGCACUGGGACAAUAUUAUCUGCCAACUAAUGCUGAUAACUACGUAUCUCCAAACCCAAGCUUUAAAUGUUUUCCCAAACCAAAACCCUGCAAUAAUACAUCAUGAGGUGUUAAAAGACUCAUUCUCUUCCUAAGCUGGUGGACACUGUGGAAAGGGGUUUUAAAAUUCAAAGAAUAAUACAUAAAAGACUGGGAUUCUCAAGAACCCUUUUAUCAAGGUAGCAGUUAAAGGGAUAUCUCCACCAAAAGAAAUUAGAAAUCACCACGUAAGCUACUAUAUUAGCACAAUGGCCACAACAAACAACACAAGGGCUUCAUCCUUCACACACAUAUAAACACUCAAUCUCCCGUGAAGUUUUUUAUGGUGUAUUUGGAGGAGAUUCUCAUGUUAGGGGAAUCGAUGGAUUCAUAUACAAAACCUCUAGUUUUUUUUCCCUUUUGCUCUUCAUCAAUAUUAAAAAGAAAGAAAGAAAUAGCAAAAUACAAUGAAGAAUCAGACAAGCUGAAGCAGGAAAUCACAAUAAAAAUAGUUUCCACAAAUCUGAGCAUGCACACAAACAGACAUCUCUAUUCAGAUGAUUAAAGAAGACCCUGGGGUCAGUAAAAAGUUCCAACAUUAAUCAGAUAAAAAAAUCAGUUGCAGAUCACAGGUUCUAUAACUGGUUCAAGGGAAAGAAGGAACAAAAGGGAUUAAAAAGAAUGUCAAUUUCAUGGAAUAACCAAUUACAAAAAGAGUGAACUAAUGGUAUUAAAAAUAUUCUUCGUUUCAUUCUCAUUUGCUUCUUCCUUUUCCAUUCGUUUUCCAACCUGUUAUUGUGGAUUAUUGUGAGUGAAUACUCCCAAUAUUCCAAACAAACAUGCUUUAUUUCUUAAGUAUGAAAUAAGAAAAAGUCCUAUAUGAUAAUAAAGGCAUUAGACAUAUUCAUAAGAUGAGCAUAUUACUAACAUUAUACAGGUGUCCCAUGCAGAUUAGGUUUCCGGGAAGAACAACAGCAGCCUCCCAUAUCCCGCAGUUAUCUUUGUUAUCCACUCAAUACAAAGGUAGUUUGGCGCAUUUUCCCCUGUUAUUCGACAUCAAAGGACAAGUAGAAUAUAAUAGUUUCAAACACAAGGAGAGGGAAAAAACCAACUUACAAGCCGGGAAAAAACAUGUAACAUACUAGAAAAUAGAAUCAAGCUUUGAGAAGCAUGAACAAACAAAGUAAAAAAAAUCCUUACU
rnacentral:lncRNA from 1 species